rnacentral:rRNA from 1 species
CAGUCGCCGCGGUAACACGAAGGGUGCAAGCGUUAAUCGGAAUUACUGGGCGUAAAGCGCGCGUAGGUGGUUUGGUAAGAUGGAUGUGAAAUCCCCGGGCUCAACCUGGGAACUGCAUCCAUAACUGCCUGACUAGAGUACGGUAGAGGGUGGUGGAAUUUCCUGUGUAGCGGUGAAAUGCGUAGAUAUAGGAAGGAACACCAGUGGCGAAGGCGACCACCUGGACUGAUACUGACACUGAGGUGCGAAAGCGUGGGGAGCAAACAGGAUUAGAUACCCGAGUAGUCCUGUCUCUUAUACA